rnacentral:lncRNA from 1 species
GUUUAAAUUACAUUUUUUAUUGGUUGUCAUAUGGUUUCUGUGAUAUGCUGUGAAAUAAAUGAAUAUAUAAACAUCAACUUGUUUGAAUAUGUUUCUGAGAGACAAAUAUAUUUGGGUGUGAGUUUGAUCAUUGCCAAUCAUUCCACGUCAUAUUCAUAUUUAUAUCAAGUUUACCAGUAGUAUUUGUGCUGGCAUAAUAGAAAGAAGUUUAUAAAUAGCUCUUUUUAAGUGAACUAAGCAAUCUUUCAAAGGAGAAGACCCAGAAACCCCAAUAAACAACCCUGCAAAGGUGUUUCUUUUAAAACUUCAAUUAUUACAGUAUAUUGGUUGUGUAUAUAUUACUGAAUGUAUGACAUUUAAAAGUAUAAUAAAAAACACUGUAUAUUUGCUUCAUAUUUAUCAAGAUAUAACC